UUCACUGAAAUUGCAUUUAAAGGGGGUAAAUUGAAUUAAUGUUAUCCAUUCAUUUGAGGUCAAAAUUAAAUUAAUGACUAGAAGGGUGGUAUUUGUUUUUCAGAAAUGUUGUAUUGCCUUGGAGAAACUGCACCGGUCCAUUUUACUGUACUGCCCUCUUGGAGAUCAUCACUAUAUUAUUUGACUUUUGGAUUUGAGUUGAAAGCAUCUGAAAGCUAUAUCGCAGCAUGCAGAGGUUGAAUUUCUCAUACGGCUUAUUAUGCAUUUGAAAUGCUGAUAUUGACUGUAUAUGAUGAAAGGAGUGAAUCCCGUAUCAUAACUAUUGUUUUGCACUCACUCCAAUGCACUGAAUGAGAAAGAACUGGAAGAAAGGGUAUCUUCCAUUCAAAUAUUUUUAAAAUGUCAUAAAUUCAUAAUAUUGUCAUAUUUCUUUACUUUAUCAGGAUGCAUACUUGUAACCAGCUAAACAUUUCAUCUAAAACUGAUAAGCUUUUAUCUUACAGUUGCUGUCUAUUAGCUGGAGGAGAAUUUCUUAAGAAAGAAUUGUAAAACAGGAAAAUAAAGAAAAAGACAAAAAAUUGAACAGUGUUCUUUUCACAUUUUUAUAUUUUAUUCUUCCUCCUCCUAUGCCUAACAUCUUAUCAGACGAAGUAUACAAUUUUGUAUUUGUUCAAACAAAAAUUUACGUCUGUGAUGAAGCACACAACAAUAGAGCUUACGUCUAUGAGAUGAUGCACACAUCAAUGACUUUGAUCAGCCACACAAAUAGUGUUUAUUAGGCUAAAAUGUAUCUAAAAAGAUCUAGUGCUCAUAAAAUUAUGUUUUACACUUUGUUAUUUGAGCAUAAAAUCAAUAUCAAACAAAGAAUCUUUUGAACUUUGAUCUAACUACUAUACAUUAUCAACUUAGUUUUUAACAUAGAAAGUCAUAUACUAACAAGUGAUCUAGUAUUUGUUAAAUAAUUAAUAUUUAAUUAAUAAAUUGGAUAAUUUAAUUUGAUCAAAUAUAAAGAAUUAAUUUUAAAUGGAAUGUUAUUUUUUCAGUACCUAACACUUUAUAUAACUAAUAUAAACCGAAAAUUUUAAUUGAGAUUUGUUAUAUGCUAACAAAUAAAAAAUAUACUAAUGAAACAAAUAUGGUGUUACAGCCAAAACGUUUAUAUGCAAAAGAUAGAAAAAUUAAAAGACACUAAAAUAUAAUUUCUACCUUCGAAACUGUAACACUUUUCAAUAAAAUAAUAAAUUUUGUUAUAUUCAUACAAGUUACUAUUUUCAUAUUGAUUUGUUAGCAACAAAAUAUAUAUUGUUACACUUUUAUAAAUGAAAUAUAAGUUUACUAAGAAGUUUGAACUCUCUCACAAAUUUGGAAAUUUUCAAUUGAGUUUUUAUUAAAUUUUUUGGUUUAAUAUAUAUGUUUUUAGUCCCAAAAUUUAUAUACAAUAAUUUGUCCUUGUUUUAAAUUAGUAUAUUUUAAUCUUCAAAUUCGAAAAGUGUAUAUAAUUUUUUUAACCUAAUAAGGUUUGUUUUUUUAGAGUUUGUUAAAUUGUGUUUUAGACAACUUAUCAAAACAUUAUAAAUAACUUAAAUGUUAUCCUAAAAUAUGUUUAACACAAAAUAAAUUAAAGUAGUUGAGUAAAAAGGAUUAUACCUAUUUAUGUUUAUAAGUUUGAGAUUAAAGUAUUUUAGAGAUUGUAAAAAUGACAAAUUUUAAUUUUUUAUCACAGUUUAAAUGUUAAAAACAUAUUUAAUCCUAAAUAAUUUACAUUGUUUGUUAAAUUACUAAAAAAAAAAUUUACAUUUUUUAAUUUUGUCCUUACCUAUUAAUUGGAUUAUGUGAUUUUUAUAUUGAUUCAUGUUACUUACUUCUCUACACGUAUUAAGAAAGCAAUAAAUAAAUUUUUAUUCCAUUGAAAACAUGUCAAAUAAAAGGAAUUAUUAUCGUCUGAUGAUGGUAAUGGCACUACUCGAUUGGUCAUUAUAAGUGAUGACACAAAAGUCAUUAAAGAACAUGACGAUUUUGUACUCAACAUGUUUUCAAUUAAAAGCAUUUUCAACAUUUAUAAGUUUGAUGUAUGCCAUAAAAUGCUUAAGCCUUAUAUUUGUCACAUAAAUGGUUUGGAACAAAUGAAACAAGAUAAACAACAAUGUAAACUUGAUAUAAUCUUCUAGAUGUGAAUACAUACUUUUCAAAAAGCAGUUUUUCGUUUUUUAUAAGAAUGGAGGGGAUUACGAAAUCCGUUUUUAAGAUAAAAAGAAGAAAUACAACGAUAAUAAUCAUUCUCAGUAUUAACGUCAAACAAGAAUAAAUUCUCAAGAAUUCUUUUGUGUGUUAAGUGAAUGACUAAAUGUAGAGAAAAAGUCUCAUAAAGUCUUCACUUUCAAUAGAGCAAGAGAUCCAUGUUGAUCAGGCAUCUUUCAAAUCUAAGAGAUACAAGAUUCUGAUUUGUUACAUUUCUUCAUGAAUGAUUGUAACUUUUCAUGAAUGGUAAAUCUUCAUGAAUAAUUGUAACUCUUCGUGAAUCUGAAAACUGUCUCUAAUACCCUUAAAUUCCAAUAAUCCUCCACCAUUUGAGAGUAUUUUAUAAUUACUUAACACAAACAUCAAUUUAAUAGUUGCAGUCUUACACAUAAAUGAAAGUGUACAUAGACUUGAACUUUCACUUAGUAGAAUACACCUUUCAGGAAUUCAUAUUUUAUUGGUGUUGAAACGAUUGAACCAACAUAAUAAAUAAUGAAAUCUUGAAGAUAUUCUAAAUAUAAGAUAAAUUACAUAUUCUUGUUAUACUUGACACAAUAGGGUCGUGCGUCUAUAUCUAUUCAUAAGUGCAACAAAGUCAUGCCCCCUUGGUUUCUUGAAGCGGCCAAACUUCGCACUUACAUAGGUUGAUUUCUUAGGUAAACAUGUUUCUGUGACAAAACAUAAAUUCAAGAAAUCAAUUAAGAAUUAGUCAACCUCCUAAGCAUCACAGAUCUAAAGCACUCAUGAAAUAAUUAUUUGUUCUUUCAAUCAUCAAAUAAGAGAUUUAAUCUUAUUUAACUUAAGACUUAAUGUCAUAUGAAGCGUUAAGUUAAGAUUCCCUUAGUUGUGAUUAAUCGUGGGCUCCAUUCCUAUUCCAAUGGUUAUUCUGGAAAUCGAAUCUUUAGCCAAUGCCUUAGUAAAUCCAUCAGCCAAAUUAAACUUUGUUCGUACGAAAUCUACUAUAAGAAUUCCAUCUUUGAUGAGUCCUUAGACAUAACUAUGUCUCACACCAAUAUGUCUUGAUUUGCCAUUGUAUACUUCACUAUAAGCCUUUGCCAAUGUUGCAACAUUGUCACAAUGUAUUGCUAUGGGUGAUAUUUGUUGAGAUUAUUGAUAAGGGGAGCACUGGUUUAGCAAAACCUUACAAUCUCAUAUAGUUUCUGGUUUUUUAUGAUGACAACACAUUUUUAAUAACAACAUGUGACAUUAAUAAAGGAGUUGAAUUCAUAAAUACAUGAGAGUGGAUAGGAUAAGUCGAAAACCGCAACAACAUAAUCAUUCCGUAUUUUAUACACCAUUCACCUGUGCAUUCUUUUGACCAAUUGAUCAACCUUUGCAUUCAUAUAUAUAUAUAUAUAUAUAUAUAUAUAUUUGCAUUAUAAACACAUUGAUUUUCGUUCUCGAGUCUUAAAUAAUAAACAAAUCACAUGACUAUUUAGGCCAAUGAGUCUAUAGGGAAAACAAUACUUGGUCUUACCAUUUAUAUUACUUGAUACGAUUCGGUACACUUGUCAGAGUCUUAACAAGUUUUUGGCGUCAUUGCCAUUGCAAGUGACAUUGAGGGCUCAUGUUUUCCCCUCAGCGAUGAUAGGACAGUCUAGUUGGAGGUUGUUUUAUGAUUUACUAAUGCUUGAAAAUACUUCUUUUGGUUUUGUGAAUUGUAUUUGAUGCAGGGAUGACCUCCUCAUCAAGGAAGAGAGUCAAGAUCGGGGAACUAAGAGGAUGGAACUAGAUCAUCCCUAUUCUAACAAAUUCCUCUCUAGGAAGCAUGAACAACAGUUCCAGAUUUUCCAAGACCGAUGGCUCUUGAUGGAGCGCAAAGCGGAGUGGAUACCAAACUUGUCCCCACAAUUUGGAGAGGAACUACAAAGUAGAAAUUGGGAGAAUGUAGUUGUUUACCCUACACCAGCCAACAUAGAAGUAGUCAAGGAAUUCUACACUAACACAAGGCCUUUUGGCGACACUCACACUGAGGACUACAUGACCGCUCAACAGUAGCCUCCAUAAUCGCAGGACACUCAGCAAUGGAUCCUAGCGCUUAGCGCUGGGUUUCAGAAUCGUAGGAUGCUCAGCGUCAUCGCUCAGGCAUAAAACAGUGGCUUCUUCCUUGAAGCUGGCGCUCAACGCUGAAUUUGGCGCUGAGCGGUGGACUUUACUCUUCUUUUGUGUCUUUUCUCAUCCUUUUUUGAGUCUAAGUCUUCCCUUCUUCACUUCCAUCCUUCAAUUCUCAUCAAAUCCUGCCAAAACAAUGUAAAAACAAGCAUAAUAUCUCUAAAACCACUUUUGACUCUCUUGAAACCAAACUAAAGUGUUUUGCACGAUUCUGAGCUCAUUCUAAGCCAUAAAGGGUGUGUUUCGAUAUCAAAUUUAAGUAAAAAAAUAACGGUUUUUAGACCGUUAUCACUGAUUCAUGAGAUAAGUGUCCUUUCUUUUAAAAUCCAUAUUGUCUUCAAGUUCCUGCAUUGUUUUUUCUUCUUUUGUUAUUAUUCCAAUCAUUUUCUAGUUUUUAGUAGGUUCUGAUGGAGUCUUUUAUCCAUGACAACUUUAUUUUGAUUGAGUAUCUUCAUUUUAAUUGGUUAAACUUGUUGAUUAAGUCUUUUAAUCUGAGCAUCGUAUCUGGUUUUGUCAUAGUCAUGUUAGUUGCUUAUUUGUUUUCAAAUUUGGGUAUAACUGUGUGCUGCAUCUCUGAAUUCUAAGUGAAAUAGACAUUCUCUGCACAAAAAAAAAGAGCUACGACAAUCUCUAAGAGGAGCUCAAGUGCAUGAUUUAUGUUAAUCAUUUCAUAUUCAUUCGUUCAUUUAGUGCAGAGUUGUGUUGGUUGAUGUUGCACUGAUUCUGUUUGAACCUCUGAGGUCAUUAUUCCAUUAGCUGAAAUUUGGUAUGAGUUGCUAUUUUGAAUGUGUAGAAAUGCUUAAUUAGAGAUAAUCCAGAAUGAACACCAUAUGAGCACGAGAUUGCUUUUGCAACUAGUUUGGUGAUAAUACUGGAAAGUUCAAAUUGCAUUUCAAUUGGCAAUAAAUCGAUCUUCAUGUGCUUUGUCCAUUCAUUUUUGCAUUUUAAGUCUGGUUGAGCACCUAGAUCAUUGUCAAUCAUCCAAAUUGUUUUCCUGCUAUUUUGAGCAACUUUCAUUUGUUGUUUUAAAGUCAUAUUCAUUGUUCAAAAUCUGAUUGACAAUCUUUUCUAAAAUUUGGAUGCUAUAGUUGCCUAUUUCUUCCAAAUUGCUUUCUAUGCGGAAUCUGUCAAGAAAAUAUGUUCAAACAAGUUUGAUUUCAUCAAUUAAACAUGUUUGUGAAAGGUUAAUUCGAUUACACACUGUUUUGUGCAUUUUCCAUAUUCAAUUUAUCCAAUUUUUAGGCACUUUUCUGGUUCAAAUUUAGCUGCUGCAGUAGAAACUAUUGAUUACAAACUGAAAUUGGUGUUUCAAAUAUUAAUUGUGGGUUGUAGCAAAAGCUUAGGUCCAUAAAAAAAAAUUGAAAACAUUCAAAAUAGUUUGCAAUAACAUUAAAAAGCUAAUUGGACCAGUACAUCCAAUUGUGAAAUCUACAAUUUCGAAUUCACCAUUUUGCACCAAAAUUUGAUUGUUCUUUGAGGCAUUUUUACAAAUAGAUUGUAAAAUCUGCAGUGCACAGCUAAUUUGACUCCAAUUUCAUUCGUGUUCUUUUAUUGCUUUUAUAAUCUACUCUAGAACUCUUCCUAGGAUCAUUUUGACGUGCCUCCUUGUUUGCUACCCGAUUAAUUGCUUGCUUUUGAGUUAUUGGCCAUCCUGCACACAACCUGUUUGAUAAAAGGCUUUGUGUUGUUGUUAUUCUGGUAGCACAUUUUGGCAGUAUUACAGUUCUUCACAAGUGCUAAAUUGUGUUGUUGUGAUUUGUGUAAGGUGUGUUGUGAAGGUGUAAUAUAGCUCAGACUCAUAUUCAUACAAGGAAGUAUUAAAGGAAGUGAAGAGCAUGAAGAAUAAGCACGUGAAAUGCAACUAAUGGAAUACCCCUUGACAUGACCUAGCACAUUCAUGAAGAGUUGGAGACAUCUAUGGAAGAUGGGCCUAGAUUCUUUCUCUUGGGCCAUCUUAAGUCAUCAAGAAGAUUUAGUAGAGUAAGAAUAAUUUUGGGCCUUGUAUUUUGGGCCAAGUAGUCUAUAUUUUAUUUGGGCUUUGUAUUAUAGGCCAAGUAGUCUAGAUUUUAUUUGGGCUUGGUAUUAUGGGCCUAGUAAUGUAGAAUUUCAAUUGGGCCUUGUAUUUUGGGCCAAGUAGAAUAGGAUUUUGACCAAACAAGUCAACAAAGGGUCAAGGCCCAAAGUUAACUAUGCUUGGAUGUCCAAAAUGGGUGUGUUGACCAAGGGGUCAACAUUUUGGCUAAGCUUGGAGAACAAGGAAGAAGAAUUUCGUCCUAGACAUGUGAAAGCUUCCCAUUGGAGAGUUUUCCUCCUAGUUAGUGGCCAUGUGUCACUCUAGGAAUGGAGAGUUUUUCCAUAGGUAGUGGCCACAUGUCACUCUCUCAUUUGAGAGGAUUUUCCACUUGUAUCCCUCAUAUUGGAGAGGAUUUCUCCUUGCUCUCCAAGACAACCAAUGUGGCUCUUUUGGGUUAAAUUUUCAGCCCAUUUUUGGGACACCUUAGCCUAUAAAUAAAGGUGCUCUCCAUCAUGUAAUCACCUUUGAUAUAGAGUGAAGUUAUGCUGCCAUUUUUGUGCUAUAUUACUCUUUUAAGGUCACCUUAGGCUAGAGUAACCCAAGUGGCGUCCUCUAGCCACCUUCCUCCAAGAGUUGACCCAACUUCUCUUAGAGAAUCACCAAAAACACCUUCCAUCACCAUUCAAACUCAUCAAAACCAUGAGCUAUCAACACCUUUCACCACCACCAAAUUCCGCAAUCUUCAUCCAUUAUCUUGUGGCUUGAUUUGCUUCUAGAUUUGGCUUGUCCUAGCUAGAGCAUUUUUGCCAUCAUUUGGUAUCAAGAGCCUUGGUUCUUCAAAGAGCUAAUUUUCUUGGAUUUUAUCCUUUGUUAUUUCCUUGUUUUUUUUUUGUUUUCCUUACUUGUCAUGUUGUGUUUUCUUUUUCCAUCUAUCAUUUUGUUUUUCUGGCAGUAAACUGGGACGAUUUUGAAACUUAAACUUCAUCUAGCCCAGUUGUCCAAAAAAUUCUUACAAAUACUCAAAUGAAAGCCCUUUGAGUCUAGUUUCACACAAAAAAAUCUCAAUUCAUUUGGACUUCUGUAGAGAAAGUUAUGAGUAAAACACUCAGCAAAGGUCAAUGUUGCCAGAAUGUUGUCAUUAGCGUUUUCCAAGUUAUGUUUUGUUAGUUUGGCUACUAUUUUGUGCCUCUCUUUUUUUAGUCAUUCCUUACUGUUUUGUUGGGUCUUUCAUUGAUUUAUAUUUGGUGCAUUUAUUUGAUUGAUUCAUUUCAAUUUUUUUAAUCCAUCCAUGUUUGUCUAGAGUCAUGUGUAGUUCUUUUCUUGUCAAUUUUCUCUAGUAACUUUGAAAAAUCAUCAAAAAAAAUAUAUAACUUAGUUUACAAAACUUCACCAUAUACAACUAUUUGAGAGUCUUAUCUUUGAUGUUUUGGGUUCAUACUUGCCAUUAGAUCUUUGGCAAGCUCUUAAAAAAAAUUCCCUAUUGAUGUUUCUAGUUUUCAACUCCAUUUUUGAUUCUAGUAGGAUUCUCUUCUAUUUUGUGUUUCUUGUCUUUGUGGCUUUUAAAACCCAUAAAUCACUUCUGUUCCAAAUGUGUGAUGGUCUUAUUUUGCACCUUAAAAGGGUGUAAAAAGAAGUGCUAAAAGCUUUUAAGGAAAAGGCCUCAAAAGAGUACCAAAAGAGAGCCUAAAAAGUGCUGAAAAAAAUAUUGUGUGCUUAGACCACUACCAUUGUUUUUGUGCAAUCUGUUUUGGAACGUGUUUUGCUCACUGUUUUGGGUAUUUAUCUUCACUUUCCAGUGGCUAAAAUUCUUGGCUAUGAUUCUAAAAGAGUGGCCUUAGUUACCCAUUUUCUCAAAGUUGCCAAAAGACAAGAACCACCCACUUUUCUUUUAGUAGUUUUUGUUUUGUGAAUCUAUUCUAGCACCUUUCAUUAGGAUUUCUUUUGAGUGCUAACCUUUGUUUCUUAACCUUUAAUUUCUUGCUUGUUUUCUUGGAUUUCUUAGUUUUUUCAUAAUUAAAUUCCUUUUGCAAAGCCUUUCUUGUUUUUGGAUCUUUUUAUUUCUUUUAUCCCUUGUUUCUUCUUGCAAAAUUUUGGCUUUGGUUACUUUGUGUGGUGUAGGUUCUCUUUGUGAGGUGAUCCAAUAUCUUUGAGGUAGCCUUCUAGGUGGUGGAGACCCAAAGGGAGCUUGAAGUCUAGAGUGGUAGCCAAAAAGAAAGGAGAGAAACACAUUGGGAGGUAGCUUUGAUUUGGUUGUAAUUUUUGGCUUUGUAAUCUUUUUUUUUUCUCUUGUAAUUCACAGCCUUGUUAGGUGUCUUGGGGGAGUCUUUGGUACUCAAUCCCAUCUCCUAACAAGAACCCUUAUUUCAUAGUAAAAUUCGUUUUUAGUUGGUUGGUUGGAGGAACCAAAGUUCUUCUAACUUAAUCAUUAGGCCGCAUAACUAGUUUAUUUGCUUUCUUUAAUUGUGAUAGCUUAGUGUGUGUCAACUUUAAUUUCAACUUUAGUUCCCUUUGAUAAAUUUGGUUCAAGAGUGCCUAAGGUAAACUUUGGCUAGGAAAGGCUUGGUAUUUAAGCAAUCCAUUGUGAUUAACUUCCAUUUCCUGGAAGUGAACUUGGGUGUCUUUUGCCUCCUUAAGUCUCUUAAGGAACUUUCUUUGAAAUUUAAGUAUUUGUUUGUUGCAUGGCAUAUUUUUGAAAACCUUUAAGGAUGUCUAAGACUAAUUCCUGUGAAAUUGGAAGUGACUCUAGUGAGGAUGUAAAACCCACUUUAAAAAAUUUNNNNNNNNNNNNNNNNNNNNNNNNNNNNNNNNNNNNNNNNNNNNNNNNNNNNNNNNNNNNNNNNNNNNNNNNNNNNNNNNNNNNNNNNNNNNNNNNNNNNNNNNNNNNNNNNNNNNNNNNNNNNNNNNNNNNNNNNNNNNNNNNNNNNNNNNNNNNNNNNNNNNNNNNNNNNNNNNNNNNNNNNNNNNNNNNNNNNNNNNNNNNNNNNNNNNNNNNNNNNNNNNNNNNNNNNNNNNNNNNNNNNNNNNNNNNNNNNNNNNNNNNNNNNNNNNNNNNNNNNNNNNNNNNNNNNNNNNNNNNNNNNNNNNNNNNNNNNNNNNNNNNNNNNNNNNNNNNNNNNNNNNNNNNNNNNNNNNNNNNNNNNNNNNNNNNNNNNNNNNNNNNNNNNNNNNNNNNNNNNNNNNNNNNNNNNNNNNNNNNNNNNNNNNNNNNNAAAAGAAGGAAGAAAGAACAAAGGGAGAAAGAGGAUCAUGAGAAAAGAGAGAAAGAAGAAAGAGAGAAAGAGGAGAAAGUAAGAAGAGAGAAAAAGGAGGAGGAAAGAAGAAGAGAGUAUGAAUACAAAAGGAUAAAAGAAAGGAAUCAGAAAGAAAAGAGAGAAAAAGAAGAGAUUGAGAUAAAAGAAGAAGAGGAAGAGUUACUAAAGCACCCUACCAUUCCCACAAUUAAGGUUGAGAUUUAGAUGAUGAGGGGAGUUUUCCAAUCCUUAAACUUUUCUCAAUACAUCCAACCAUCUUUCAUAACUCCAUUUUUUACUUUUGAAAUUUCAACUUCUUUUUCACCUCCCACUAUUUUUANCUCCUCAANNUUUUCCAAAUCAAACUUUGAGUUGAUGUUACCUCUUAGGAUACAAUUAACUCAAAGUAAGCACAAACAAUUUUGUGGAGUAGACCUUCAAAGCUUUGAAGUAAAUUCUUUUAAAAUUAACAUAAAGUCUUAUUCAAAUCAUUCAUCUAGAUAUAUGUUGUUUGUUGCUCAUAAGGUUAUUGGUUUUGAGUUUGAUGACACUUGCGUAUGGAUCUUUGAUCGUGGUGGAAAGAUACUCAAAAUAACCGAUAAUAAGAAACAAGUUUUUUUCAUAAAAGAACAACAAGAUUUGAGGGCAAAUCCUUUUCAGGAGGGAGGGAAUGAUGUCAUACCCCUUGCAAUGACCUAGCACAUUCACGAAGAGUUAGGGACAUCUAUGGAAGAUGGACCUAUACUCUUUCUCUUAGGCCAUCUAAAGCCAUCAUGAAGAUUUAGUAGAGUAAGAAUAAUUUUGGGCCUUGUAUUUUGGGCCAAGUAGUCUAGAUUUUAUUUGGGCUUUGUAUUUUGGGCCAAGUAGUCUAGAUUUUAUUUGGGCUUUGUAUUAUGGGCCAAGUAGUCUAGAUUUUAUUUGGGCUUGGUAUUAUGGGCCUAGUAGUGUAGGAUUUCAACUGGGCCUUGUAUUUUGGGCCAAGUAGAAUAGGAUUUUGACCAAACAACUCAACAAAGGGUCAAGGCCCAAAGUUGACUAUGUUUGGACCUCCAAAAUGGGUGUGUUGACCAAGGGGUCAACAUUUUGGCUAAGCUUGGAGAACAAGGGAGAAGAAUUUCAUCCUAGACAUGUGGAAGCUUCCCAUUGGAGAGUUUUCCUCCUAGUUAGUGGCCAUGUGUCACUCUAGGAAUGGAGAGUUUUUCCAUAAGUAGUGGCCACAUAUCACUCUCUCAUUUGAGAGGAUUUUUCCACUUAUCUCCCUCCUAUUGGAGAGGAUUUCUCCUUGCUCUCCAAGACAACCAAGGUCGCUCUUUUAGGUUAAAGUUUCAGCCCAUUUUGAGACACCUUAGCCUAUAAAUAAAGGUGUUCUCCAUCAUGUAAUCACCUUUGAUUUAGAGUAAAGUUAUGCUGCCAUUUUUGUGUCAUACUACUCUUUUAAGGUCACCCUAGGCUAGAGCAACCCAAGUGUCCUCCUGAUGAGUCGAUAUUUUAUUGAUUUCACUUAGCUUAUUGUACCGAAUUUAAUCAGGGAAUUGUGCUUAAUUGUCCGAUAUUUUCCCGUUUUUCCUAAUUAUNGUCGAUAUUUUAUUGAUUUCACUUAGCUUAUUGUACCGAAUUUAAUCAGGGAAUUGUGCUUAAUUGUCCGAUAUUUUCCCGUUUUUCCUAAUUAUACUUAAUUUGAUCGAAAAUUCUUAUUUUAGUUAAUUUGAAUUUUCUGAGCUGAUUAAUUCCAAUUUUAAUUGCAGGGAAAAUAUUGGAGAUAUAUUUUGGAGCAUUAGGAAGGAGGAAAAUAAAUUAAAGACUCUACAAUUAGGCAUUUCAAAUUUUAAUCACAUUGUGAAUUAGUAGUCUAGAAAGCUUUCAUUAAACUUGUGCACAUUGGGCCAUUGUUGGCAAAAUUUAUGAUGGGCCCAAUUGGUAGGAAGACACUUGGAGCUUUAGGUUUUCUGGGUGGACCCCACCUAUCCUUAAAAGAUGACUCAUGGCCCUAGGUAAAAACCAACUAGCCGCCACCCGAAUUCAUUCUUGGCUGGAAACAAUUUUGGGGAGAGCUUGGAAAUGUUGUUCUCGGUUAAGGGCACUAGAUGAGAAGCAUACUUUUCUUUUGUUGUCACCACAUUCGGUCAUUGCUUUGAAAGUUUAUUGGAGAUAAACUAUUUUGGUUUUAUGCUGUUUUAAUUUUUCAAGGGGAUGAAUGAAUUUUAUUUAUUGUAGUUCAGCACUUUUUGCUUUGUCUAACAUUUAUUUUCCUCUCAUUUUCGCUCAAGUCAUGGUCUAGGUAGCUGCUGUUACCUUUUGCUUCAUUUUCAAUUUAAAAAAAAAAAGAAAAAAAACGCAUUUCAUUUUGAGCUAAAGGCUACGGCCUAGAGAUUUAAUUUAUAUUAGAAGGAGCUUGCAUUUGUAUUGUGGUUGGAGGUGUCACGGCUUAUGAGCUGCAGCGAAAGAAGCACGGUGCUGGAAUGAUUGUAUGCGCUGAUUAUUUACUUGGGCAAAAGCUUGAUUUCAUCUUCUUUUCUUGAACCUUUGGAGCGGUUGAUGGGUGUCGCCGCCCAAUCAAAUUUGAUUGCAUAAUAAGAAAUGCAGUAUAGCUAGGGAAUGACCCCUAGGUCGUCUCUCAAGGACCAACUGCGGUUCAGAAUCAAGUCAAACACGAAGUGGGGUGGUUUGUGAAAGGUUUGCGUGGUGAAUGCGGAAAAAUUAAAAUGAAAUUAAAACAGUAAAAACGAAAAUUCACACUGGAACUGGGCAGCUCUGACCUUUGCUCAAUGUUUUAACCAUAACUUUUUCUACAGAGCUCUAAAUGAGAUGAGGUUUUUUUUCCUGGAAAUUAGACUCAAUUAUCUUUCAUUUGAUAUAUAAAACGUAGCAUUUGGACCUCUGGUCUGCUUGCAGUUAUUUUUUUAAAAUCGAGUCCAGAGAGUGAAAAUGCUAAACCCAACAUUGCAACAAACAAUUAUCUAGCACAGCUAAAAUUUUUAAAAUGCAACACUAAAGCUUAAACAUUAAAAACAAUUCAUCAUGACAAUAAUGCAAAUAAAAGACACUUAAAGAGUAAAGGAACUAGAGUGAUUCUCCACAUGACACCUCACGUUCAAGCAAAGAAAACAAACUUUUCAAAUGGAAAUAAAAUUCCCAAGGCCGUGACACCAGGCAAAUGAAUCAGCUCCGUAGCCCAAAUGAAAUCAGCGUGUGAUCACUGAAAUAAAUGUAACAUGUGUGCAUAAAGCUUCAAUAAAUCAUGACCAAUUGAAAAUAAUGGCUAAAGAGCAAAGCANUAAUGCUUCUUAGAAUAAAACAGAAAUGACGGUCAAUUGGGAUAUGUCCCAUCCUUGAAUCAGNGCAUCACUUUUCUUUAAUUAAAGCAAGAUAAAGGAAAAUGAAAAAUCCGUUCCAGCUCAAAGUCAAUUCUGCUUCCAUUUCAACUAAACAUUAAGUAACUUUCAAAUUUGAAAUUAAAUAGCAUGCAUUCAAAGUAAAAGAAACGAGAACCCCUUUUUAUCUUACAAUGCCACAUACCGNUGUUNUAUUUAAAAGCAAAGAAAAGGAANAUGCUUCUGAAUUUCAUCCAAAAUCCAUGAAGAGUGUGGUGCCCAUUCUGCAUUCAAGAUAAGCUCCAAAGCAAAAAGAAAGAAACGUUCCAGCCCCUCCCCAUAUUCCAGCAGAGAGUAAAAGAAAUGGUGCUCUCUAAAAAUCUGCUCAGUCGAGAGUAUGAGGCUCUCCCAAAAAAUGUGAUUGUUGUAAGGGGGUUCUAAUCCCUAGGGCCAAGUGUCCUAAAAAUUAUGGUGGGGUCCACCCAACCCUAGGGUGUCAUGUGUCUAUUUUUUACUAUUGAGCUCAACAACAAAUAUAAAAAAUUGGCCCACAAUGUCAAAGUUUGUCUAAAAUUUCUAAACUAUUAAAUUAAAAUACAACUAAUUCUAAAACGCUUAUGAAAGAGUCUUAUUUAUUUUGUCUUCAUCCUAAUGCUCCAAAAUCUUCCCUGCAAAUAAUAAUGCAAAUAAUUAGCUCAGAAAAUUCAAAUUAAUUAAAAUUAGAAUUUCCAGUCAAAUUAAGCAUAUUUAGGGAAAACGGGAAAAUAUCGAAAAAUUAAGCACAAUUCCCUGAUUAAUUCUAGCACAAUAAACUAAGUGAAAUCAAUAAAAUAUCGACUCAUCAAAAUAGACCACACUUAGUCUUUUGCACUCCUGGGAAAAACCAAGACGAAAACCAGGGAACAGUUCAACGGACAUGCAUAUCAAUCAAGAAUCAUCAACAAAAGUCAAGCCAAGGCAUAUGUGCAAGCAAUCAAGAGACAUAUCACACAUAAGAAAGAAUGUCAAGUGGCUCAAAUUCUCACACAAGGUAUUUCUGUCACAAUUAAAUCAACCUCUCAAACAUCAUAAUCAUCUUUCCACGCAAAGAAAAACAAGGAUUUCAACCAAAUCAGAGUAUCAAUGAAGUGAAAGAGAAGUCUGCAACCUAAACGAAGUCCAGAAAUCAAGAGAAACAUGCAAAACUGUACACAAGACACAACAAAAACUACCUAGACAACAAAAAAUUUAACGCAUAAAACAUAAACUAAGAAAGAAAAAUCAGAGUCAAUUAAGAAAGAAAAAUCAGAGUCUCCCCCAAUAGACCACACUUAAACUACACAGUGUCCUCAAUGUGUCACAAGCAUAAGAUCAACAUUCAUAAUAGUCAACAGAUCAAGGACAAGUGCAAUUCAAGUGGGAUAAGGGGGAGAAGGGAAAGAAGAAAACUCCCCUGAUCAUGGUGGCAGUUGCCAAUUUUGGACUUUCAGGGAGAGGUCUUCCACCACUGGAUUCAACAAGGAAGUCUUGAGGAAGAACUGCUUCAUCCUCCAUAUUUGAUCAAGCAGGGAGAUGUACUCCAUAGCUGGAUCUAAGAAGCAGUGGUUGUUGAUGAGUAGGUUCAGCUGGUGCCAAUUGGUGUUGAAGCUUUUGUGAAUGUUAGCACCCUUGUUCUCCACUGUGGGUGUGUGUUGAUCAAAUGCAUGUGUACCUCGUACAACAUGGUUAGUGCAAUGUGGUUCCAAAGAAAUAAUAUGCAGAGGUAUAACACCCAAUCCCAGUGUAACAAGCUGAUCCUAAGAUAUACCCUCAGAACAUGAAUCACCUUCAGACAUAGAAACAAUAUCAAUCACAGUCUCAGAUUCAUGUUCAGUGCAUGGAGAACAAACAUUCAAAUGUGAUAGCAAAAAGUGGUUCUCAUCAUGCAAGGAGGGAGAAUUAAAAGCAUGCUCAUCAACCUCAUAAUCAUCAACAUACCUAUCAUCAACAUAAUCAUCAACAACAAAAUCAAUCACAGGUAUGUUUACCUCCACUUCCCUGGAAGUUGGUAGAGUAGUGGAAGGUGAAGCUGGUCUACCUAUCUCAAAAGUGGUGCUCAUAUCUGCCUUAUCCUCCAAUUCUUCAUUAGUCUCCUCAAGUGCAAGAUUGGGGACAUAGGAGUGUGGGAAAGUAGAUGGCACAACACUAAGCUCAUAACUCUGCUCCUCAUCUCCUAUGUGGAUGGCAUCAACAUCAUCUAGAAUAUGAACAGCCUGAAAUGGUGAUUCCUUUAAAACAUAAGAUUGUUCCUCAAUGAGUUGAGUGGCCAUCUACCCCAUCUGAUCAGUCAAACUCUGAAUGGAAGCACUGGUCUCCUGCUAAAAGUCCAUGUUCUCUCGCCGGAACUGAAUGUUCAGAAUAGUCAUCUGCUCCAAUAACUCCUUCAGUGUAGGCUCAGAAGUAGUGGAAAGAUGAGGAGUUGCUUGGGCAGGCUCAUAUGACUACAGCUGUUGUAGCUCCUGGGCUGGUGGAGAAGGCAUACAAGAAUUCUGGAAUGGCUGAUAUUGUUGUGGAGUAUCAUACCAUCCCAAGCUAGGGUCAUUCAAUCCAGGAUCGUUGUUGUAACCAUACUGAGCGGGGAAGAAUUUAUCGAAGAACAUAUGCUCAAGAUCUUCCCAAGAAGUGAUGGAUCCAGGAGGAAGACCAUAAAGUCAAUCCCUUGCUGCUUCUUGUAAUGAGUGUGGGAAUGCCUUUAAGAACAUGUGAUCAUCAGGGACAUGAGGAGGUUUCUUUGAAGAGAAAAUGGUGUAGAACUCCUCCAAGUGUCUGUGUGGGCAUUCACCUGCAAAACCAUGAAACUUAGGCAACAAAUGUAUCGGUCCAGAGGUGAGAACGCAAUGAACAUCAUCCUCCAAGUGUCUGUGUGGGCAUUUGACCAACACACACCCAUGGUGGAAGACAAAGGUGCUGACAGUUUGAAGAUUAAUAGGCACCAACUGAACCCACUUAUCAACAAUCACUGCUUCUUAGAUCCAGCUUUGGAGGACAUUUCCCUGCUUGAUCAAAUUUGGAGACUAAAGCAGUUCCUCCUCAAGACUUCCUUGUUGACUCCAAUGGUGGAGAAUAUCUCCCUAAAAGUCCAAAAUUGGCAAUUGCCACCAUGAUCAGGGGAGUUUUGUUUUCCCUUCUCCCCCUUUUCCAACUUUUAUUGCACUUGUCCAUGAUCUGUUGAUUGUUAUUAUUGUGAUCUUAUGCUUGUGACACAUUGAGGACACUGUGUAGUUUAAGUAUGGUCUAUUGGGGGAGAUUCUGAACUUUUCUUUGUUAAAUUUUUUCUUUUCUGAGUUAAAUUUUUUGUUUUCUAGGUAGUUUUGUUUUAUCUUGUGUACAGUUUUACCUAUUUCUCUUGAUUUCUGGACUUUGUUUAGGUUGUAGAUGUAUCUUUCACUUCAUUGAUACUCUGAUUGAUUUGAAAUCCAUGCUUUUCUUUGAUUGGAAGAUGAUUAUGAUGUUCGAGAGUGAUUUGGUUGUGACAGAAAUGCCCUGUGUGAGAAUUUGAGCCACUUGAUAUUCUUUCUUGUGUGUGAUAUGUCUCUUGAUUGCUUGCACUUAUGCCUUGGCUUGACUCUUUUUGAUGAUUCUUCAUUGAUAUGCAUGUUUGGAAAUGAUAAAAGCAGUUCUGUUGUUGAGCCUCUCUAGCCAAGUAAGCUUACCUUGUGUUGAUCCCUUAAUAACCCCCUUUGAGCCUAUACUUUCCCCAUUUCUUUGUUUUCAAGCUCAUACACUAGCCCUAUGUGAAAAACCAUGAUUACCUAAACCUUAGGGAAUUUUGGAGCUUUGGAAUUAUUUUGGGAAUAAGUGUGGUCUCCCGGGAGAUUCAAAGAAUUGGCUAGUUGGUUCCUCUUCUUGUUUUUGUUUUGUAAAUAUGUUAUACAUCAUGUCUCAAACAGUUGUGUUCUUCAUAGAGAGAAAAGAAAAGAGACAAGAUGAGAAAUGAAAAAAAAAAUGAGAAAAAAAAAUGGUGUGAAUAAUGGAGUCAAGAAGAACAUUGAAUUAGAGGUUUUGGGCGUAAUUUGAUUGUAUUUUCACUUGUUCCCCAUUGCUCAUCCAUUCUUUUUGGUUUGUAGCUUCUCAUCCAUAUUUUAUCUUCCCUUUUCCUUGGCCCCAUUACAUCCAUUAAAGACCUUUUGAUUUGAACAUGCAUAUGUUUUGAGUGUUGAUAUUAGAGGCCUGCCAAGUCUAUUUGUGUUUGCUUUCUCAAGUGCAUUGAGUUGACAUUGUUUACCCUAGACACUUGAGAGAAAUACCGAUAGUGUGCAUCUGUGAGGCUCUGUUGCUUUUAAUUCACCUCUUGAGUUGAUUGAUCAUUUUGCCAUGCUUUGAAUUGCUUGGAUGACUUCAUGAGUAUUUGUUUUCUCUGAUUCUGUGUGGGAUGUUGCCUACUUCCUUUUCUUUGUCCAGAUUUCUUCAGAACUAUGUAAUUUUGUUUCUAUCAUUGUGAGUCUUUGUUUUCUGUCUGUUGAGCCUAUGUCGCUUCCUUGAUGUUCGUUGAACUGUUCCUUGAUUUGCCUCUUGAUUUAUCCAGGAGUGCAAAAGACUAAGUGUGGUCUAUUUUGAUGAGUCGAUAUUUUAUUAAUUUCACUUAGCUUAUUGUACAGAAUUUAAUCAGGGAAUUGUGCUUAAUUGUCCGAUAUUUUCCCGUUUUUCCUAAUUAUGCUUAAUUUGAUCGAAAAUUCUUAUUUUAGAUAAUUUGAAUUUUCUGAGCUGAUUAAUUGCUUUUUUAAUUGCAGGGAAAAUAUUGGAGAUAUAUUUUGGAGCAUUAGGAAGGAGGCAAAUAAAUUAAAGACUCUACAAUUAGGCAUUUCAAAUUUUAAUCACAUUGUAAAUUAGUAGUCUAGAAAGCUUUCAUUAAACUUGUGCACAUUGGGCCAUUGUUGGCAAAAUUUAUGAUGGGCCCAAUUGGUAGGAAGACACUUGGCACUUUAGGGUUUUUGGGUGGACCCCACCUAUCCUUAAAAGAUGACACAUGGCCCUAGGGAAAGACCAACCAGUCGCCACCCAUUUUGGAUUCAUUCUCGGCUAGAAACAAUUUUGGGGAGAGCUUGGAAAUGUUGUUCUCGGUUAAGGGCAUUGGAUGAGAAGCAUACUUUUCUUUUGUUGCCACUUACAUUAGGUCAUUGCUUUGAAAGUUUAUUGGAGAUGAACUAUUUUGAUUUUAUACUGUUUGAAUUUUUCAAGGGGAUGAAUGAAUUUUAUUUAUUGUAGUUCAGCACUUUUUGUUUUGUCUAACAUUUAUUUUCCUCUCAUUUUCGCUCAAGUCACGGUUUAAGUAGCUGCUAUUACCUUUUGCUUCAUUUUCAAUUUAAAAAUAAAAUGAAAAAGCCGCAUUUCAUUUUGAGCUGAAGGCUACGGCCUGGAGAUUUAAUUUGUUUUAGAAAGAGCUUGCAUUUGUAUUGUGGUUGGAGGUGUCACGACUUAUGAGCUGCAGCAAAAGAAGCACGGUGCUGGAAUGAUUGUAUGUGCUGAUUAUUUACUUGGAAAAAAGCUUGAUUUCAUCUUUUUUUCUUGAACCUUUGGAGCGGUGCAUUUAAUUUGGUGAGCACUGCCACGGUCUGAUGCUACAAAUUGGAGGCACAUGUUUUUCAAAAAGGAUAGAAUUGGAGGAGGACUUUAUUGUUCAUUUAAGAAAGAGUUGGACGGUGUUGAAUUCAAUUGCUUCAUUUUGUUGUAGCUGCUGUGAAGUAACGCUUUUAAUUUCAAUAGGUGUUGCACGAUUUUAUGUCACUUUUCUUCAUUUGGCUGGACUUCACGCACAUGGUACACUUUGAUUCAACUUCAAUUUUAAUAUUUAGCAGCUCACGGACAUUUGAUACUUGGUGCACACGUGAUUUUUCAUUUGGAUAAAGCUACCUCUUACUUUUAUUUAGCCUUCAUGCUUGAACUGACACUUGUCUUGCAAAUUGCCAUCUUAAAUUUACAAUGAGUAUUUCAUAUUUUUUUACUUUUCAUUUGAACAACUUAAUUGCAUUUAGAUAUUUAUCUCUUGCACUGCUCGGUUUAAUGUUUCAGUUUACUUUAAUGUUGUUUAGUCUGUGUGAUUGUGUUAAUUUUAUUGUCAUGUUAGCUUAAGAUAGUCGGGUUGGUCAUUAAUAAAAUUACUUUGCUUCCGUGAGGCUUUUGAACUUUAAUUGUCAUACUGCUGCUUUGAUUCUGCUCAAUAUUUAAUCUGUUUUCUGUUUGUGAUUCAGUAUGCGCUUAGUUGGCUAAUCGGUGUUUAAUCUUCGCUUAGUUGAUUAUAUUGUAUGGUGUAUGACUGAUUAAAUUUGAGCAUUGCAUUAGCUUAAUUUGCAAUUUUGAAAACCGAAUUAGCCUUCGCUUAGUUGGGUGAUUCGUGUCGGAUUUGGAUUAGAGUAGUAUGUACUUGUUGUUAAUCUGGGAUAGGAAGCAUAGUAAUUGAGUUAAUGACCAAUCGUUUUCAUUUUGCAUUUGAUUCCAUUUUUCUUACAUAUGUGUUUGCAAUUCCGUUUUUACAUUUCUGUUGCAUCCGUGUUUUAAUUUAGUUUAUCCGCCUUCACAAUCCUUUCACAACCCCCCCCACUAUGUGUUAGACCUAAUUCCUGAACCACAUUUGGUCCUUGAGAGACGACCUAGGAGUUACUUCCUAGUCUAUACUGCAUUCUUUUAGUCUCAUUAAAUUUUGCAUGAGGUGCGACACCCAUCACCUCCUCUAGCCACCUUCCUCCAAGAGUUGGCCCAACCUCUCUUAGAGAACCACCAAACGCACCUUGCAUCACCAUUCAAACUCAUCAAAACCAUGAGCUAUCAACAUCUUUCACCACCACCAAAUUCUGCAAUCUUCAUUCAUGAACUUAUGGCUUGAUUUGCUUCUAGAUUUGGCUUGUCCUAGCUAGAGCAUUGCCAUCAGCAACUCUCAGACAGAGUAAGACAGAGCUUGUCCUAGCUAGAGCAUUGUAAUCUCGUGCAGCAACAGAUUCAUUCACUUUAGCAAUUGUGAGCUUAGUGUGAAUUGAUAAAAUUCACUUGUUUUUCUGAGAAGCCAAACCUGCCACACAUCAUUUCCUUCUCAUUUCCUUAUUGUUUAAAGUCAUUUGCUUUACAAAAUACUAGUAGUUGGCCAUUAAGUAAGUGACUUGGAAGAAAUCCAAGUGUUCUUCCAUCACUUGCAAUCUUUUGCUCUUAAUUUCUCAUUAAAAAAAAUUGGUAGACGGUGAGUGUGUCUGGGAUCCAAAGUCCAAGCCUCACCUAAGAGACCUCACUUGUUUCAAUUCUUUAAAGCUUUUGGCAAAGUCCUAGAAUUUAAUUCUUCUCUUUAUGUUUGUUUGCGGUCUGUAGACUUUUUUUGAAUUUAGAGGUAAUUUUGACUUAAGGAAUUUAAGUAACUAACGAGGAGCAUAUUUGGCAAGCCAAGACUUGGUAAUUAAGCAACCUACAUGGUUCACCUCUCUUACCUGGAAUAUUUCUCUUAAUUGAAAACCUUAUUUUCCUUACUUCAAGAAAAUAAGAGAACAAAAUAGAGACAAGAGAACAAGGGAGAAUAAAAAGAGAGCAAAAGGAAAGAGAAGAAGAAGAGACAAGAGAACAAGAGAGAAAAGAACAAAAUAGAAGAGAAGAGGAAGAAAGAAAAGAACAAGAGACAAGAGAACAAGAAAGGAGGAAAAAGAAAGAAAGAGAGAGAGAAGAGCAAGAAAAUAAAAGAAAAGAACAACAACUAGGCAAAGAGUAAGCACCACCUCCUCCAACUAUCCUCAUAGAACCCAAAUUCUUAACGGGAGGUUUUCUAUCCUUUAACUUUUCUCCAUCUAUCCUUAAGUUUUCAAAAAUCUACUUUUCUUCCCAAGAAUUUGCCACUCCAUCUUUAACAAUGUUACAAAAAUGUGGCAAUUCACUUGAGUUAUUGUUACCUUUGCGGUUACAACUAACUCAAGACAAAACUAAAAUUUCAAAAUAAGUAAGGUUUCUUUAUUGUAUUAAAAUUGAAAUUUUCAAAACUGGGAAAUCUUCUUCUAAACAUAUUUUUCCAUAUAUCUUAUUGGGUCAAUUAAAUCUAUAUCGAGAUAUGUUUGAUGAUAUUUGCAGAUUGAUAUUUGACCCACGAGGAAUUCUUUUGAAGUCAACAAAAAUAAGUCCUCAUAAUAAAGAUGACCCACCAAAUUUGAGGACAAAUCCUUUUCAAGGGGAAGGAGAUGAUAGACGAGGUCCAAGCCACUUCUCAAUCAAGGAUCCAUUCACCAUAGAAUGGCCAAAAGGUUACAAAGGAUGCAUCUCUAAAAGGCCAAAUGAGAGUUUAUUCACUUAAAAUGGCAAUUAAGAGCCAACAUGACAGAUCACUUCAAGCCAUGAAAGGGAGUAAAAUCAUUGGAAAGAAGAAAUUGGGUGGCACUGAGCAUCACCCCUUCACCGCUCAACGCUAGCGGCAUGAAUCUUUCCAGCACAUUUCUCAUGUUUUCUGGAUGCAUCCAACACAUGUUUUGCACUCGUCCACGUGGCCUGUGAUCCAUAGAAUAGGGAUAAUAAUAUGAUGUGUAAAUCCUUCGUGCACAAAGGGGGUGAAUCAUUUAUAAAUUCAUCCACCUCAUAUUGUAUGAUUCACUUCUGGUAUAUGAGAGAAACUCUGCUAAUGUUAUUUUCCAGCCACUUUCUCUACACCGAGAGUCACUUUCGUGCUUACUCUUUCAUCUCUGCAACUUCCUUCCUUGAAUUGAAGGUCAUCUGAGUUGUAGCCACCUCACUUAAGCACCUCCUCUGUUCCAAACAGCCAUCACACUGCACCAUCUCUGCUUUUGAAUCAAAUCUGGCAUCUGGAUGCAGCUAUCACAAAGUUUCUUAAAUCGCAAGGAAAAAGAAGUUUAAGUACAGUGGAAAUAUAAAGUUGACUAUGUGAAAAAUGAAGUCGACUGAAUGUAAAGAGUGUAGGGAAAGAGAAAGCAAACACAAAGUUUUUAUAUUGGUUUGGCCUUAAUGCCUACAUCCAGUGUCCUUCCACAAUCAGGAAGCAAAUGCACUAUAAUGGUCAAGGUUUUUAAAAUAAGGCUUUUAUAGAGACCUCCACGUCAAAAAUAUAAAACACCUCUCUAACCCUUUAACCAAAAUAUAGGCAGGAACACAAACAUUUGCAGCAAGAUAUCCCCUUUUCUGCAAUCUUCAACUCACUUUGAACAAUCCUCAAAGUGUCCAGAACUCCACGAGCUCACCUCUUGUAAUCCCAACAAGAUAGCAACAAUCUUCCAAAGAUUGAUAAAACUUGAUCAAUAGAUGAACACCAAAUGUGCAGAACUUGAUCAACCAAUAAGCACAGAACUCUUCCUCCU
rnacentral:lncRNA from 1 species